rnacentral:rRNA from 1 species
CGCCUCUUGACCAACUAAUAUAAGAGGUACUGCCUGCCCAGUGACACACGUUUAACGGCCGCAGUAUUAUGACCGCGCGAAGGUAGCGCAAUCACUUGUUUUCUAAAUAAAGACCUGUAUGAACGGCAAAACGAGGGCUUAACUGUCUCUUUAAACUAAUCAGUAAAAUUGAUCUCCUCGUGCAGAAGCGAGGAUACUAAUAUAAGACGAGAAGACCCUAUGGAGCUUUAGACCUAAACUACCUAUUUAUUUAUAACAUGUAAUUUUUAGGCCUAGUCAACGUCUUAGGUUGGGGUGACCGCGGAGAAAAAAAAAUCCUCCGAGAUGAAUAAGCAAAGAGAUACAUCUCUCUGCCAUAAGAAACUUAACAUAAUUGAUCCAAUAUCUUGAUCAACGAACCAAGUUACCCUAGGGAUAACAGCGCAAUCCUUUCCAAGAGUCCAUAUCGACGAAUGGGUUUACGACCUCGAUGUUGGAUCAGGACACCCAAAUGGCGCAGCAACUAUUAAAGGUUCGUUUGUUCAACGAUUAAAGUCCU